GACGAACGCUGGCGGCGUGCUUAACACAUGCAAGUCGAACGGAAAGGCCCUGCUUUUGUGGGGUGCUCGAGUGGCGAGCGGGUGAGUAACACGUGAGUAACCUGCCCUUGACUUUGGGAUAACUUCAGGAAACUGGGGCUAAUACCGGAUAGGAGCUCCUGCUGCAUGGUGGGGGUUGGAAAGUUUCGGCGGUUGGGGAUGGACUCGCGGCUUAUCAGCUUGUUGGUGGGGUAGUGGCUUACCAAGGCUUUGACGGGUAGCCGGCCUGAGAGGGUGACCGGCCACAGUGGGACUGAGAUACGGCCCAGACUCCUACGGGAGGCAGCAGUGGGGAAUAUUGCACAAUGGGCGGAAGCCUGAUGCAGCAACGCCGCGUGCGGGAUGACGGCCGUCGGGUUGUAAACCGCUUUCGCCUGUGACGAAGCGUGAGUGACGGUAAUGGGUAAAGAAGCACCGGCUAACUACGUG
rnacentral:rRNA from 1 species